GACAGGAUGGCCGAGUGGUCUAAGGCGCCACAUUCAGGUUGUGGUCCUCCUAUGAGGGCGCGGGUUCGAAUCCCGUUUCUGUCA
rfam:Vittaforma corneae ATCC 50505 unplaced genomic scaffold supercont1.2, whole genome shotgun sequence.